rnacentral:rRNA from 1 species
AUUACCCAAUCCCGACACGGGGAGGUAGUGACAAUAAAUACUGAUACGGGGCUCUUUUGGGUCUCGUAAUUGGAAUGAGUACAAUCUAAAUCCCUUAACGAGGAACAAUUGGAGGGCAAGUCUGGUGCCAGCAGCCGCGGUAAUUCCAGCUCCAAUAGCGUAUAUUAAAGUUGUUGCAGUUAAAAAGCUCGUAGUUGAACCUUGGGUCUGGCUGGCCGGUCCGCCUCACCGCGAGUACUGGUCCGGCUGGACCUUUCCUUCUGGGGAACCUCAUGGCCUUCACUGGCUGUGGGGGGAACCAGGACUUUUACUGUGAAAAAAUUAGAGUGUUCAAAGCAGGCCUUUGCUCGAAUACAUUAGCAUGGAAUAAUAGAAUAGGACGUGCGGUUCUAUUUUGUUGGUUUCUAGGACCGCCGUAAUGAUUAAUAGGGAUAGUCGGGGGCGUCAAGUAUUCAGCUGUCAGAGGUGGAAAUUUCUUUGGGAUCUUUGCAUGAAGACUAACUACUGCGAAAGCAUUCGCCAAGGAUUUUUUCAUUAAUCAGGGAACGAAAGUAGGGGAUCGAAGACGAUCAGAUUAACCGUCGUAGUCUUAACCAUAAAACUAAUGCCGACUAGGGAUCGGACGGUGUUUUCUAAUUAUGACCGUUCGGCACCUUACGAGAAAAUCAAGUUUUUGGUUUCUGGGGGAAGUAUGGUCGCAAGGCUUGAAACUUAAAGUAAAUUGACGGAAGGCCACCACAAGGGCUGGAGCCUGCGGCUUAAUUUGACUCACACGGGAAACUCACCAGGCAUCCAGACAAAAUUUAAGGAUUGACAGAUGUGAGAGCUCUUUCUUGAUCUUUUGGGAAUGGGUGGUCGCAUGCCUUCUUAGUGGUGGAUGAUUAUGUCUGCUUUAAUUUGCGAUACACGAAACGAGCACUCGGCCUUAAAUAGCCCGGUUCCAGCAUAUUGCGGGCGCUGCUUCUUAAGGGACUUAUCGGCUCAAGCCGAUGGAUUGACGCGGCCGGCAAUAACAAGUUUUCUUGAUUGGCCCUUAGAUGGUUCUGGCCGCCUAACGCGGGCCGCACACUGGACAAGGGUCACGCGGGGAAGUACAUCAACCUUGGCCGAGGAGGUCUGGGUAAUCUUGUUUAAACCCUGUCCGUUGGCUGGGAUAAGAGCAUUGCAAUUAUUGCUCUUCAAACGAGGAAUGCCUAGUAGGCCACGAGUUCAUCAGCUCGUGCCGAUUACGUCCCUGCCCUUUGUUAACACCGCCCGUCGCUUACUACCGAUUGAAUGGCUCGGUGAGGCCUUCGGACUGGCUCAGGGGAGUUGGCAACGACCCCCCAGAGCCGGAAAGUUGUCAAACCCCGGUCAUUUAGAGGAAGUAAAAAGUCGUAACAAGGUUUCCGUAGAGUGUGAACCUGCGGAAG